rnacentral:rRNA from 1 species
GACGAACGCUGGCGGCGUGCUUAACACAUGCAAGUCGAACGAAGAGCGAUGGAAGCUUGCUUCUAUCAAUCUUAGUGGCGAACGGGUGAGUAACGCGUAAUCAACCUGCCCUUCAGAGGGGGACAACAGUUGGAAACGACUGCUAAUACCGCAUACGAUCUAAACUCGGCAUCGAGGAUAGAUGAAAGGUGGCCUCUUCAUGUAAGCUAUCACUGAAGGAGGGGAUUGCGUCUGAUUAGCUAGUUGGAGGGGUAACGGCCCACCAAGGCGAUGAUCAGUAGCCGGUCUGAGAGGAUGAACGGCCACAUUGGGACUGAGACACGGCCCAGACUCCUACGGGAGGCAGCAGUGGGGAAUCUUCCGCAAUGGACGAAAGUCUGACGGAGCAACGCCGCGUGAGUGAUGACGGCCUUCGGGUUGUAAAGCUCUGUUAAUCGGGACGAAAGGCCUUCUUGCGAAUAGUGAGAAGGAUUGACGGUACCGGAAUAGAAAGCCACGGCUAACUACGUG